UGCUCUUAAUGGUAAAAUUCAAGUCAACUGAUUGAUAGUAAAACAUUAUAAAUCUUUGUUUAACAAUGUUUGAAUCACAGAUGACCCCGGGUAUACUGAGGAUUCAUUGAUUUUCGUGGGUCUCAAAUUCCAUGGUUUACUGAAAACUUUCGUGGAUAUUUGUUUUCGUGGUUUUGCCAAUCACUGUAUACAGAGCAAAUAUGUUUUCGUUGAAUAUUUGAAUUCGUGCUUCCCUUCUUCCAACGAAACCCACGAAAAUUGGUAACCAAUGAAAAAUAAUGAAUCCACACUAUACCGUUGUCAUUGCAACACUUCGUC
rnacentral:lncRNA from 1 species